rnacentral:rRNA from 1 species
AGCGAACGCUGGCGGCAGGCCUAACACAUGCAAGUCGAACGGAUCCUUCGGGAUUAGUGGCGGACGGGUGAGUAACACGUGGGAACGUGCCCUUUGGUUCGGAACAACUCAGGGAAACUUGAGCUAAUACCGGGUGUGCCCUUCGGGGGAAAGAUUUAUCGCCAUUGGAGCGGCCCGCGUCUGAUUAGCUAGUUGGUGAGGUAAAGGCUCACCAAGGCGACGAUCAGUAGCUGGUCUGAGAGGAUGAUCAGCCACAUUGUGACUGAGACACGGCCCAAACUCCUACGGGAGGCAGCAGUGGGGAAUCUUGCGCAAUGGGCGAAAGCCUGACGCAGCCAUGCCGCGUGAAUGAUGAAGGUCUUAGGAUUGUAAAAUUCUUUCACCGGGGACGAUAAUGACGGUACCCGGAGAAGAAGCCCCGGCUAACUUCGUGCCAGCAGCCGCGGUAA